rnacentral:rRNA from 1 species
GACGAACGCUGGCGGCGUGCCUAAUACAUGCAAGUCGAGCGCAGGAAAUCGACGGAACCCUUCGGGGGGAAGUCGACGGAAUGAGCGGCGGACGGGUGAGUAACACGUAAAGAACCUGCCCUCAGGUCUGGGAUAACCACGAGAAAUCGGGGCUAAUACCGGAUGGGUCAUCGGACCGCAUGGUCCGAGGAUGAAAGGCGCUUCGGCGUCGCCUGGGGCGGGCUUUGCGGUGCAUUAGCUAGUUGGUGGGGUAAUGGCCCACAAAGGCGACGAUGCAUAGCCGACCUGAGAGGGUGAUCGGCCACACUGGGACUGAGACACGGCCCAGACUCCUACGGGAGGCAGCAGUAGGGAAUCUUCCACAAUGGACGAAAGUCUGAUGGAGCAACGCCGCGUGAACGAUGAAGGCCUUCGGGUCGUAAAGUUCUGUUGUAAGGGAAGAACAAGUGCCGCAGGCAAUGGCGGCACCUUGACGGUACCUUGCGAGAAAGCCACGGCUAACUACGUGCCAGCCGCCGCAGUAA